AGCAAGACUAACAAGGAUCCCCUAGUAACGGCGAGCGAACCGGGAAGAGCUCAAAUUUGAAAUCUGGCGUCCUCAGGGCGUCCGAGUUGUAAUCUAUAGAGGCGUUUUCCGUGCCGGACCGUGUCCAAGUCCCUUGGAACAGGGUAUCAAAGAGGGUGACAAUCCCGUACUUGACACGACCACCGGUGCUCUGUGAUACGUCUUCUACGAGUCGAGUUGUUUGGGAAUGCAGCUCAAAAUGGGUGGUAAACUCCAUCUAAAGCUAAAUAUUGGUGGGAGACCGAUAGCGAACAAGUACCGUGAGGGAAAGAUGAAAAGCACUUUGGAAAGAGAGUUAAACAGUAUGUGAAAUUGUUGAAAGGGAAACGAUUGAAGUCAGUCGUGUCCAUUGGAUUCAGCCGGUUCUGCCGGUCUACUUCCUUUGGACGGGUCAACAUCGGUUUUGGUCGACGGAUAAUGGCGGGAGGAAGGUAGCACCUCUCGGGGUGUGUUAUAGCCUCCCGUCGCAUACGCCGGCCGAGACCGAGGAACGCAGCUCGCCUUUAUGGCAGGGGUUCGCCUCUUCGAGCUA
rnacentral:rRNA from 1 species